GACGAACGCUGGCGGCGUGCCUAAUACAUGCAAGUAGGACGCACAGCCUAUACCGUAGCUUGCUACACCAUAGGCUGUGAGUUGCGAACGGGUGAGUAACGCGUAGGUAACCUGCCUAUUAGAGGGGGAUAACUAUUGGAAACGAUAGCUAAUACCGCAUAACAGUAUGUAACACAUGUUAGAUGCUUGAAAGAUGCAAUUGCAUCGCUAGUAGAUGGACCUGCGUUGUAUUAGCUAGUAGGUAGGGUAAUGGCCUACCUAGGCAACGAUACAUAGCCGACCUGAGAGGGUGAUCGGCCACACUGGGACUGAGACACGGCCCAGACUCCUACGGGAGGCAGCAGUAGGGAAUCUUCGGCAAUGGGGGGAACCCUGACCGAGCAACGCCGCGUGAGUGAAGAAGGUUUUCGGAUCGUAAAGCUCUGUUGUUAAGGAAGAACGAGUGUGAGAAUGGAAAGUUCAUACUGUGACGGUACUUAACCAGAAAGGGACGGCUAACUACGUGCCAGCAGCCGCGGUAAUACGUAGGUCCUGAGCGUUGUCCGGAUUUAUUGGGCGUAAAGCGAGCGCAGGCGGUUAGAAAAGUCUGAAGUGAAAGGCAGUGGCUCAACCAUUGUAGGCUUUGGAAACUGUUUAACUUGAGUGCAGAAGGGGAGAGUGGAAUUCCAUGUGUAGCGGUGAAAUGCGUAGAUAUAUGGAGGAACACCGGGUGGCGAAAGCGGCUCUCUGGUCUGUCACUGACGCUGAGGCUCGAAAGCGUGGGGAGCGAACAGG
rnacentral:rRNA from 1 species